rnacentral:lncRNA from 1 species
GGGUAUAAAUUUCCUAAGUUGACUUCAAAUCAAACGGACUCCUUUAUUAAACGGCAGUAUAAUACACCGCAACAAUUUUAAUAUCCAAUAAUCCUCAGUCCGACUCCGACAAAUUCAGAGUGCUUGCUGAUUUUGAACUGAAUUGAAAAGGGAUGGAAGGCGUGAUUUCGAUGAGAGAAACCCCAAUUGGUAUUAGGGUUCCGUCAUCGUACCUGAAUCAGAGUCUUCACAGACCGACGGCAUUCGGAGCAAUCACAUUUCGAAGGUCAAUUAAUUAUAUCCCUGGAGCUUUAANNNNNN